rnacentral:rRNA from 1 species
UACGGAGGAUGCAAGCGUUAUGCGGAUUUAUUGGGUUUAAAGGGUGCGCAGGUUGUUUGAUAAGUCAGUGGUGAAAGUCUGUCGCUUAACGGUAGGAUUGCCAUUGAUACUGUUGGACUUGAAUAUGGAUGAGGUAGGCGGAAUGUGUAGUGUAGCGGUGAAAUGCAUAGAUAUUACACAGAACACCGAUUGCGAAGGCAGCUUACUAAUCCAUCAUUGACCCUGAGGCACGAAAGCGUGGGGAUCAAACA